GUGUCUCUGCUCUCAGCCAGUCUACAUAAAGCCACUUCAGACAGGAAGCACCGAGUCCCAAUCACCGGAGCCAGGACGCAGCGAGUCGGCGUGGACAGGCCACUGGACCCGGGGCCCUCUGGAGCCCACAGACGAGGAAUCCCCGCCGUAAAUGAACACAUCAGUGGUCUGGAGAAGCUCCUGAAGGGAGUACCAACGUUUACCCCACCGAAUGCCCCCAGCGGGCAGAGGCGUAGCGGGAGCUGGUGGUUUAAAAGCACGUCCCCUCAUGAGACGUGAAUGGCCCCCGUUGAUUACCAUGGCUGGACACGAAGGGCGAGGGAACGGGGCGUGAUUGUGACCUCACAAAAAAAGGAUUUUAUUUGAAAAAGACUUUACAUAAAGGGGGAUCCCGCCUAUCACACGGAUCUGCAGAUCUCA